rnacentral:rRNA from 1 species
GAUCAUGGCUCAGGAUGAACGCUAGCGGCAGGCUUAACACAUGCAAGUCGAGGGGCAGCAUAAUGGAUAGCAAUAUCUAUGGUGGCGACCGGCGCACGGGUGCGUAACGCGUAUGCAACCUACCUUUAACAGGGGGAUAACACUGAGAAAUUGGUACUAAUACCCCAUAACAUCAUGAAAGGCAUCUUUUAUGGUUGAAAAUUCCGAUGGUUAGAGAUGGGCGAUGCGUUGUA